GACGAACGCUGGCGGCGUGCUUAACACAUGCAAGUCGAACGAGCGCGUAGAGCCAGCUUGCUUUUUUUACAAUCUAGUGGCAAACGGGUGCGUAAAGCGUAACCCACCUGCCCAACUGAUGGUGCCAACAGCAGGAAACGGCUGCUAAUACCGAAUCCGCUCCGAAAGUCGCCUGAGUACCGGAAGACAGGCUGGCCUCUCUUUCUCAGCUAUCGCAGGAGGUGGGUUUUGCGUCUGAUUAGGACGUUGGAGGGGUAAUGGCCCACUAAGGCGACGAACAGUAGCCGGUCUGAGAGGAUGAACGGCCACAUUGGAACUGAGACACGGUCCAGACUCCUACGGGAGGCAGCAGUGGGGAAUCUGCCGCAAUGGGCGAAGACUGACAGAGAAACGCCGCGAGAGAGAAGACGGCCGUCGGGUUGUAAAGCGCUGUUAAACGGGACGAAUAAUCGUGUGGUUAAUACCCAUGAGAAGUGACGGUACCGUAAGAGAAAGCCACGGCUAACUACGUG
rnacentral:rRNA from 1 species